rnacentral:lncRNA from 1 species
CUAAACAUACUAAGUUUAUUAUAUAUAUAUUUUUAAAUCUCUCCGACCGAAAUGUCGUCGGCACAUAUCUAUCCCGGAAAAAUUCGCCGUAUUAGACCUCUACAGACAAAAGUUCAUCCGCACAAGUAACUUUCAUCUGGAGAGGUCUAAUCCGAAAAAUUUUGCCGGCAUAUACAUGGCCGACGAUAUUUCAUUGGGAGAGGUGUUUUUGUAUUUUGUUUUUAUUUUGAAAAUAUAAAUUGUUAUAAAGUAAGGGGAAUUGUAGAGAGCAAUAAGAGAAAGAGAAACAGAGAGAAUUUUUUCUAUGAACUUGUAUAUCAUUCAUCUUUGAUACCAACUAUUUAUAGGCUUCGGGGAUAGACAAACAUUCACCACUUAUUAUUGGUAGGUUACAAACACAUAAUUACAACCCAUAAUGUACUAAAUACAAUCAUUAGUGCAUAGGUUACAACGAUAUUAUGAUGUGUUUUAUGGUAGGUAUUAUGAGUGAUAUUAUGGUGUUCAUCCACAAUCAAUAGAUUUGCAACAAAAAUUAGUUUCUUUACCUUUUUUUUUUUUUUUGGAAAACUUCUUUAAUUUAAUAUAUGUGAUUAAAUAAUAUCUUAGCCUUUUUAAAUUACUUUAAUUAAUAAUUAUGUAUUAGUUAUUAUUUUUUAGUGAAUUUGUAAAUAUGUUAUUGAUUUCAUAAUUACUUAAUAAAUAGUAAUUAAUUAUUUUAAAUUAUUUUAGGACUUCGUUUUUUAUAUUAUUUAUAUUAAAUACUAAUUAAAACAUAAUAUUUUUAAAGAAUAUAGAAUCAC